CUCAACCGGCCUUCACCAAGACAGGAUCCUGUAGCCAAGGUGAUGGUGACGUUGCUACGCCAUAUGUUGCCGUCAUUACCACAGGCCCAGUCCGAACGGAUGUCGUCUGGCAGAAAUGAAGCUGAAGAAAAGGGAUAGAGGAGAGUGGAACCGUGUAGUCGGACAGGACAGAGUGGAAAGGAAUGGACAUUAAACCACUGGCCCCUCAGCACCAAAACGACCACGCUAAACAAGCUGAUAUCACAUUGGACAAGAAUGAUAAUGGACGUUGCAUUCAUCAACCAAUGGUUUGCGAUGAAGGAAGCUGGCCUUGCCAAAUCAGAGGGCUCUUAUGUCAUCCAGAGGUCACGUAACAGGAAGAAGAAGUGAGGUCAUCUUGGAUUCAUCCAGCGUCAUCAUCACCAAGGACAGCAAGUGAGUCAGAUGAAUGAGUAUAGGCCCCUGCUGUACAGCUCUGUGUGAACGUUAUCUCCUCCAUUUAACUGAAAACAUGGUGCAUGCAUGUGCCUGUUUACAUCUCUCCAUUUGUUCGUUUCAUUGCUGAUUCAGGAUAUCACUAUUUAUUUACACUCCAAAGAUGUUUUCAUCAUGGUCUUGCUCUUUAAAACAAUGCGCAUCACACCCUAGUAGCCAAACCACAAAUAUCUCUCCCUCCACUUUCCACCUGUCUCUCUUUUGCUUAGCCUCGCCCUCUCUCUCUCUCUCUCUCUCUCUCUUUCUCUCACACUCUCACACACUCGCACACAAUGACUCAACUUCUGAGUUUCCACUGCACAGGUACAUC